AGGAGUAUAAGGGGGCUGUUACAAUGUCAAAACAGGUUACUCAAGUUUCAAAGGUAAUUACUCCUGUUGAUGUGGUACAGAAAAUCAAUCCUUUAAUUAAAGGCAUAACAAAGGUAUCAGAGAAAUGGUAUAAGCGUUGGCCUGAUAUUGACCAACCUUGGCCAGUAGAGGGGACAAUUAAUUUAGAUGUAAUUAAAACAAUGCAGGUGCUUGUGUCUACAUACAAGGCAGAUCAAAAGAAGGGUAAAAAAGGGGAGAAGCGUAAAGAAAAGAGACAGGAAGAGCUUGGUAUGCUACAGCUGUUUGAGCAUGAGGGACAGAAGCGGAUGAAAGCUGCGCAGGAGAAGAGAAAGGGAGGUGAAGAAGAAAUAGGGCAAAAUACAAGAGAGACAGAUAAAUUAAUGGCAGAAGUUAAUACACCUUUUUCACAUGUGGACUCUGUAAAGAAGCCUCCACCUUAUGAGAAGGAAGUGAAGUUUGAGGAUAUCUAUCCCCAGCUUCCAGUGAUCAGUCAAGAGGGAAACUAUCAUAUUAGAGAUGUGGAUGAUCGAACAAUAGAAACAGGACGAGCUCCAAAAGCAAGAAAAAACAGAUGUUUUGAGACAAAGGGUAACUUGAGAAUCAUGAGGAUGGAAUCUGGAGAUGAGGGUGAUCAGAGUGACUGUGAGAUCAAAGGUGGAUAUGACCCAGCAGUGAGGCGGAUACUGGCUAGAGCGGAAAAAAGAGGAGACAAGACUUGGAGGAAAGAGGAUUCAGGAGAUGACAGCUCUGAUGAAAGUGAGAAUGGAGACAGUGAUGAGGAUCCAGAAAGUGAGGGAUUUUCGUCAAGAGCAUUUUUUCCAGCAAUAUCCAGUACCAGAAUGGAGGAGGACAGACAGAGAGCCGUAAAAGAGGUUGAAAGAAGUAUAGAGCAAUGCCUGUCUUAUUUGGACAAAUCUACUGGAUUUGAAAGCCGAAGAGCACUGGAGAAUCAAUUAGAAGGACUGCAGAUGCAGAAGAAAAUGUUGCAAAAAGAAGGCUCUAAAAAAUUUGAUAUGAAAUAUGUGCUGCGCUCCAGAAAAGGGAAGAAACCUGAGAAGAUGUGUCCAGUGGUCAUUCGGGGACAGAGUUUGGAGUAUAAGCCUUGGCAAAAUACAGAUAUGUCAGAUAUUCUUGAGAAGCUGGCAACUCUUCAGAAUGGAGCAUAUCCUUGGAUUUCGAAGCUGGAGGAGAUUAUGGUGGGGACACAGCCUGCCAUAGGAGAUAUUAAGAGACUUUUAGCUAAUCUCCUAGGUGUUCCAGCUAUGGAAGAAAUUUUACAGAAAGCUGGACUUGAUCGAUAUGUGGGGACUGCUGUGAAUGAUCCAGAAUUGUUCUCUGCGAUUAGAGAUCGGAUGUGGAGAGCGCUGAGGGAAACGUUUCCAACCAACGUGCAUCCCGAUAUUAUCUUUAUUGAGCCAUUGGGACAGGAAGAAAACCAGAGAGCGUAUGUGACAAGAGCUCAUCAUGUGUGGAGAAAUGUUACAGGAAAUGAUCCAGAUUUGAAGCAAAUGGAACAGUCAAUUCUGAGAGCUAAGAUACAGAAGGGUUUGCCCCUGUCAGUGAGAAGUAAAUUGGCAGAAGUUGUUGGACUUGGAAGCAUGGCCAAGGGUAUAUAUAUGGAUCAUAUUGCACAUCAAGUGGAACUGUAUAGGAAAAAGAAACAGGAGAAAAAAGAACAGGACCAAGAGACUUUGAGGAAACUCACUCAAGUUCAAUUAACAGAAAGUAAGAAGAAGGAGAAGAAUCAAGCGGUAGUGAUGCAGAGUCAAUUCUCAAGAAACCAAUUAGCAUCACAGCCACAGCAAAAUCAGGGCCAGCCACAAGUGUUUCAACCAUCGUCAGUAGUUCCAGUUGUUCCCAAUUCACAGCCAGUCUUUGGUCAGGAACAGACCUGGAGAGGAAGAGGUCGAGGAAUCUUAGGAAGAGGAAGAGCCGAGGGUUUAAGAAGACAGAUGGAUCUCACAUACAGCAUCAUGCUCAAAUAGUGAAGUUGUUGCAGGCUAUGAUGAGGCCUAAAGAAAUAGCAAUAGCAAAAUGUGCAGCACAUCAAGCAGAUAUGUCAAAGGUUACACGAGGGAAUAAAGCAGCUGAUGAAGCAGCAAAAGCAGUUACAGGAGCGGAUAAAUUGGGUAAGGUUUUCUUGGUUACUCAUGAAGUGGAUUUGGAAGAUAAGAUUACACUUAAGGAUGUGCAGCUAAUGCAGGAAGCGGCUUCCGCAGUAGAUAAACAGUUGUGGGUAGAGAGAGGUGCCACACAAGAUUCUACUGGUCUUUGGAGAAAUCAUGAGGGGUUGAUAGUAGCACCCUCAGAUUUGUUAGGUUUGAUGAUUCAUGAAGCACAUGGUUUAGCUCAUGUGGCUAGAGGUGAAGUGAGGAGAAAAAUCACAAAGGAGUAUGGAUUUUGGGCUCCAUGCUUAUUAGAGCAGAUUGACUAUGUUAUAGGCAGGUGUAUUAUCUGUCUAAAGAAUAAUGUUCGGAGAGGAAUAGUGGUUCCUCCUGGUCAUAUUCCAACUCCGAGGGGUCCUAUGCGUGAGUUAGUUGUGGACUUUGUUGAUAUGAUAAAACCAAUUGAAGGUAAGAGAUAUUUAUUGGUAGUAGUUGAUCGUUUUUCGCGUUGGCCUGAGGCAUGUCCAACCGAGCGAAAAGACGCUCAGUCGGUGGCUAAGUUUCUGUGUAGGGAAGUCAUAAGUAGAUGUGGACUUCCAGAUCGAAUAUCUUCGGAUAAUGGACGACAAGUUUGUGGAUAAGACAAUGAAACUGAUUUUGCAAAAAUUAGGAAUCAAGCAACGGUUUGGUGCAGUCUAUCAUCCGCAAAGUCAGGGAAUUUGUGAAAGAAUGAAUGGAGUUCUGAAAAACCGUAUUAUUAAGAUCUGUCAGCAUACGGGAUUGAAUUGGGUAGCGGCGCUUCCGUUGGCGCUAAUUGUAUGCCGAUCAAGUGAGUUGCGUGAUUUGCAUAUGACACCACAUGAGUUGCUUACGGGAAGGCGGAUGCCAAUGUCUUGUUUACGUACAAGUGGGAAAGGUCCAAGCUUAUCUCUUUUAGAAGAUGAGAUGCGAGCAUAUGUUACAUAUAUGGAGACCUUGCAUAAAAAAAUAUCUGCGUAUGUUUCUGAUAGGCAAAAGAAAGAGGAGGUGCAGGAGAGAAUUGAUGAGCAAAAGAGGGACACAAUACAACCGGGGGACAAGGUGUUCGUGAAGGUGUUUAGAAGGAAGUGGUAUAAUGAACGACGUGAAGGACCGUUUGAAGUUGUUCGCAGUACAGGAACCGCAGUCCAUGUUAAAGGGUCUCCAACGUGGUAUCAUUUCUCACAUUGUGUUAAAGCACCAAGCGAUGAGUUGCCAUGUUCGCAGAGUCAUGAUGAGGGUUCAAAACAGUCAGAAGAGAAUGCAGAACGAAGAGAAGAAGUCGAAAUGCAUAAAGAUUUCCAGAGUCAAAUUUCAGAAGGUGAGAUUGUCCAUGGGGUGGAAGAUGUUGAUGAUGUUGUGUACAUUUCUGAUGAUGGCAGAAGUGACUCUGCAGUUAAUGGACAGGAAAGAAGGUUUGGUGACAUUGACUUCCAAUAUGCCCCAGAAACAGCAGAACCUAUUUCAAUGGAGUGGGAAGCGUCAAAGGCCACAAAUGGCAGUAACUCAGCUGCAGGAGCAUUUGGGGGUUCAGUUAGAAGGAGGAGUCCAAGGCCAGUUCAGAAAAGAGUUAGACCCAAACGGUACGAGAUUUGACUGAGAAAGGAUUUUAGAUAAUUUAACUCUGCUAGAUGAAUCAUAUUCAACUACAGCAGCUUCUCAGAUAAUUUUGACAACACCAGAUCCUUUAAAGACGGUAGUUAGAGCUAAAAUAGGAAGAGGGGUUUAUCUUCCCUGUCGAUGUGAGAGAUUUAAUGUUGGAGGUAGUAAUCCUCCUCGGUGGAGAAAUAGUCGUGGUGAAGAUGUGCUGUUAGAGGGACCUGAAGUUGAUGCAGUUCCUCAUAAUAAGAGGAAGUAUCUUUUAUAUAAUGCUAUGAGGUGGUUCAAAGUUAAGAAUGAUUGUUCACUUUUUGUGCGUAAUGUCACAUGGGAAGAUCAGGGAGAAUAUACAUGUACUUAUUUCAAGCCACAUUUUAAGUUUGUGCCAUUUAGUAAUGGGAAGGCUACAUAACUCGUGAGGUUGUAGUUGUGUUAAAAGAUGUGAGUCCUACUGGAGCACUUACAGCUGUGAAGAGUGUUCAGGGGGAAUUACUUACAGCAACCACUCCAAGGGUGGAUAAUACACAGAUGAGGGUUACUACUUUAGCUCCGGAAAUAACUAAGAGUGUUAAUACAUCAACACAGACUACUACUUUAGAUAUGUCUCUGAAGGGGUUGAAUGUUACUACAGCAAUGGUGACAGCCUCUACUAUUGUCACUUCAGGAAACAUUACAAGUGAAGUUAGGACAAGGCUAAUUUUGGCUAAGGAAACAGAGACAACAUCUUUGUUGCCUAUGAACUCUGUAAAUGUGACACAGACAUUUGAUAUGACAUCAUUAAAAUUUAAAGAGGGGGUAAAUGUAACUCAGAAGUCUAUGCUAAAGAUAGAGUCUAGUGUGAAGACUAGCAAUGAGACUUUUGAAAUUAGAGAACCAAUGGUGGAUGAUGAGUUUUUUUAUUCUGAUUGGAUAUCAGAAGAUAUGAUUGACCGUUAUCGUGCAUUACAGAAGAGAGAAGUUAAGUGGAAAGCAUUUGGAUUUGAUUCCUCAGCAAUGAAAAUAGCAGACCCAUUUGCGGGGAGAAAUUUAUAGUUUCAGCAGUUGACUCAUUCUGUGAGAUCAGUGAGUAAAGUGGAUGGUCCAUGUGUAGUGAAGAUUCCAGCACCAGGUUCAUGGUCUUUAAUUUUAGAAGCAGUGCCGGAACCAUUAGCUAUCAAAUGUCAAUAUUAUGUAGUAUCAUGGUUGUUAUAUCAUCAACACUCGCCACAUAAUAUAUGGAUGGCUAUAUCAUCGAAUUUGUUUAGACCUCAGUUAGAAUGUGCUUGGUUAAGUAACUUGCCAUACAUAAAUUUACGUGAUCAGCAUGAGGAUGUGACGACGGCGAUUCCUGAGGCAAUAGAGGUGAAACCAGUGCAGGCUGACAAGUGUUUUUGCUCAAAUAAUACUCAUGGAGGUCCAGGGGUGUUUAUGGGAAUAUCAGAGUGUAAGACAUAUAUGAUGACUUUGGGUGAUCGUACAAAGUAUCCUUGGGAAAACUUAUAUGAAGUGGUUUUUCAUUUACCAAAGCGAAAGUCGAGUGUAACUUUAAUGGUAAGGAAUCAUAUUUCACCAGGAAAUGUAACUAUUGGGAAUUUUAAGGAUAUUUGGUGGGUUUGUGGUGAUAAAGCUUAUAUAUUUUUGCCAUAUGGAUGGACAGGUUGUUGUUAUAUGGCAACGUUAAAGCUACCGUAUGAAGUUUUUACUGUAGGGAUAGGACAAGCUCCUCGUGAGAACUCAUCAAGUGGUCGUUUGGGAAAUAGGAGGAAAAGAGAGAUGGCAAAAUUUCAUAACUUGGAGGCCUAUCAUUGGAGAAUAAGUCUUGGAGAGAAGUGGGGAAUUGGAAUAUUUCCAUGGUAUGGUGUGACGUUUUUGGCUGAUCAUAUUGAUAAUAUUACUUAUACAUUACAAGGUUUUGCAAAUGAAACAAUAAAAGGUUUUGAAUAUUUGUCCAAUGCUCAAAAGAGUCAUAGGUUGACAUUGUUAAAACAUGAUAUGGUGCUUGAUUACAUUUUAGCUAAACAAGGAGGUCUUUGUGUGGCUUUGAAUUUGACAGGAGACGACUGUUUUACUUUAAUUCCUGAUAGCACUGAUAACAUAACUAAUGUUAUAGAUGCAUUGAAACAUAUAAGAGAUGCAUUUGGUCCUUCUGAGGGAGCUGGAUGGUCAGCUAAUGCUUGGUUACUAGAGAAGUUGGGUCCGUUGGGGUCAGCUAUAGUUCAGGUUUUGAUAGCAGUGGUUAUAUCAUUGUGUGCAAUGUUUUGUUUUUGUACGCUGAUAUUGACCUGUGCGAAAGCUAUGAUAUUGAGAUGGGUAGGAGUUGUGAUGCCAGGGGAAAAUGGUCAGUUGUCAGUCUUACAGAUGACUGAUAUAGAAGAGGAAGAAGUGAUAACACCUAAAUUGAUGGAUAAAUAUCCAAUUUGAGUAUUGAGCUUACUAUAAUCUUGACAUUUAUUCUUGUCUUUUGUCAUUAUGUAAUGGGAUAAUUAAUUUCCAUUUAUUUGAUUUAUAUUAACUAAUGUAUUAAUCAAUAUAUUACUGUAUGUCUGUGGUUUUGCAAAAAAGAUACUGGCUGGUGCUUUCUUUCUUUCCUCUAGUAUGAGAAAAAGGGGAGAAAGGCUACUGGGAAUGCUGAAGGAAAUUGUCCCGACAGAGAAAAUAAAAUGGACUGGAGGAUGUUCCUAUUCACGACAUCAUUGACACCACGAUGCUGUCCAGAGUCAAGGAGGAGCUUCAGUGUGACAUAUUCUCAUGUUUAUGUAUACCUUUACAAGUAUUUGUUUGUGUUCCAUUAUAUUAUAAUUGGUGAUAUUCUGUUUAUUGUACCUGUUUGAAGAAUGAUGUUUCUGUUAUGGGGUAAGUACAUUGGGACCUCAGAUGUUUUUUUCUUUUCUCGAUGGCUAGGGAUAUGGUUGCUAGGCAGGGAUAGGUCUGCUGGAAAGUCCGAUGGGUUGACCAGCUGGAAGGUGGACAUUUUUUUAUUUUAUUUUCUGAGGUUCCAAAUGUAUUUGCCAAAGUGAUUUGUUAUCAUCCUUUUAAGACUGACUUGGAGUACAAUAGGUGGUUGCUCAGGGCAGGAGGACCACGAGAGACUUUUUCCUGUCUAGAUUGUUUGAUGGACAUUUAAGAAAGAAAGCUGCCUGACAGGUUUUUCGUUCUCGCACUCCAUGUACUUAAAGUAUGCAAGUAAGAACCCUUCCUUGUUUUUUUUGAGACGUAAAUGUCACAAAAAAGGGGGGAACUGUGGUGAAUUUGAUCUUAUUAAUUCUAUAGUCGUAACAUUAAUUUUUAUCAUAUUGGUUAUUAUACUGUGUAAGAUCCUGGUUGAGUUAUCGUGUGGGCCUCUGACUGAAAUAGUAGUAGGACAAUAGGGUCUCAGUCGAGCUGAUGAAGGAGGCAUCUGGACAGGAAAGGGGCCCCCUGAAUGAUUAAUAAGGUCACAUAUGGGGUUAGACGACCAGGGUCAUUUUGGAGAAGACAUUAGGUUAAAUACCUAAUUUGGUUUGAGAGCAGCCAUACAUCGAACUGAGGCUAUCUUGACAGAAACCAGAUGUGGGCUAUACGUCCACAGCGGGUAUAAAACCAGGAGCUGAAAUGUAUGUGGCAGAGACUAUUGGCUGUUCUCUCCAAGCUGUUUCACGAAGGCUUGUUUUGUGACUUCGACCUCUCAAUGCUAAUAAACAUCUUUAUAUGCAAGAGACGGGUGUCACCGAAGAGUUUGUUCCUACACCUUUACAGCAUCGCAACUAAAGAAACCACAAUUAUAUUCAUUUUUCUUUCUAUUACACCUGAAAAGUUUGACCUUAGUAACUCGGACAUUGAUGUGCCCUCCCAAGUAUACAAGAGCAUCGACAGUUUAAUAUAGAGAAACUGUGGCUACAAACUACAAACUAA